CAGGAUCGACUAAGUUAAUGUCAUGUAUCCUCUUUGUUUCUCUUCAGGUUUUAACCAUACCUUGGCUUGGUUGGAUAGCUUUCUUAACUUAUGGGCUGAAUGUUUAAUGGCUUAAAGGUAAUGUUUUCCUAGAUCUAGGGUUUUCUUAGUGUCUUCUCUCAAAUUUUAGUGUCUCAGGUUUUUGGGCAUGACAUUUUUUAGAGUCUAAGAGUAUAAAAAGUCUAACAUAAAAUGGGUCCUGAACUCACCUUUUUAAAGGCUCAAAUCGUACCAAAAUGGAUACAUCCCAAUUAUUAACGAAAUUGAUAGUUUAAACUAUUGUUUUGGGCGACACCAGUGGUGUUGCCUGACCAAAGGGGUCCAAAUUCCAUAAAGCUGCUAAAAAAUGGUCACGGAAUGGUAAGCAUGCGAAAACUACCAUUUUGGGCCAGUCUAAGCUGGGUGGCACCGGUGGUACCACCAUACCAAAUCUGCUCAGAAAUGGCAGAUUCCAAUUCUAGGGUGAUUUUUUAGCCCUUGAGAUUGCCUACCAAAAAUAACGCCAUUUGGGCUAGUCUGGGCUGGGCAAUGCCACUAACCAAAUCUGCCUAAAAUUGGCAGAUUUUUAUUCUGGCUGAUUUCCAGGCCCUUGAGCUGCGACCUGCCAAAAAUCAUACCAUUUGGGUUAGUCUGAGCUAGGUGACACCAGACUAAAUCUGCUAAGAAUUGGCAGAUUCCAAUUCUAGGGUAUGUUGUUUGCCAAAAAUCAGGAAAAAAUAUGCGAUUUUUCUAUUUUUACUUGAUUUAUUAUCAAAACAGUGUGCCUUGUAGCAUUCUAGAUCACAGGGUAGGCAUUAUGGAUAAUGGUGGUCUACGGUCCGGGGGUUUACUUAGAUAGUGUGGUCGUAAAGUUGUUUAGAGUUUAGAAAACCAUUGAAUUUGUCAGUUUUCAAAAUGGGGUGUCUAUAGUUUCCCCUCGUUGGUGCUCCCUAUCCUUUGAGGGAUAGGUGAGUGUCAAAGAAGUAGACACCGCUGACAUUUUAAUUUUUAUGAUGUCAUGUGGUCAGAGGGCAAACCAACUUUUCCCUCUAAGAUAUUGCACUCCUCGCUCACCUACCUAGGGCAUUUUCAUCCUAGGGUUUUUGACGUGAGAUGAUCUGGUGAGUUACACAAGCUUGAAACUUAAGUUGGAUUUUCUAAACAUACCAUUUAAGUACAGAGGUUUUCACAAUUCAAA
rnacentral:lncRNA from 1 species